GACGAACGCUGGCGGCGUGCUUAACACAUGCAAGUCGAACGGUAAGGCCCUUCGGGGUACACGAGUGGCGAACGGGUGAGUAACACGUGGGUGAUCUGCCCUGCACUUCGGGAUAAGCCUGGGAAACUGGGUCUAAUACCGGAUAGGACUCCGGACUGCAUGGUCUGGGGUGGAAAGCUUUUGCGGUGUGGGAGGGGCCCGCGGCCUAUCGGCUUGGUGGUGGGGUGAUGGCCUACCAAGGCGACGACGGGUAGCCGGGCUGUGAGGGUGACCGGCCACACUGGGACUGAGAUACGGCCCAGGCUCCUACGGGAGGCAGCAGUGGGGAAUAUUGCACAAUGGGCGCAAGCCUGAUGCAGCGACGCCGCGUGAGGGAUGACGGCCUUCGGGUUGUAAACCUCUUUCAGCAUCGACGAAGCGAAAGUGACGGUAGGUGCAGUAGAGGGACCGGCCAACUACGUGCCAGCAGCCGCAGUAA
rnacentral:rRNA from 1 species